AUUGAACGCUAACGGCGUGCUUAACACAUGCAAGUCGAGCGGCAGCAUGACUGUAGCAAUACAGUUGAUGGCGAGCGGCGGACGGGUGAGUAAUGCAUAGGAAUCUGCCUUGUAGUGGGGGAUAACCCGGGGAAACUCGGGCUAAUACCGCAUAAUCUCUACGGAGCAAAGUGGGGGACCUUCGGGCCCUACGCUAAAAGAUGAGCCUAUGUUGGAUUAGCUAGUUGGUAGGGUAAAGGCCUACCAAGGCAACGAUCCAUAGCUGGUCUGAGAGGAUGAUCAGCCACACUGGGACUGAGACACGGCCCAGACUCCUACGGGAGGCAGCAGUGGGGAAUAUUGGACAAUGGGCGAAAGCCUGAUCCAGCAACGCCGUGUGUGUGAAGAAGGCCUUCGGGUUGUAAAGCACUUUUAGUGGGGAAGAAAAGUUCAUGGCUAAUAUCCAUGAAUGCUGACGUUACCCACAGAAAAAGCACUGGCUAACUCUGUGCCAGCAGCCGCCGUAA
rnacentral:rRNA from 1 species